rnacentral:rRNA from 1 species
AUUGAACGCUGGCGGCAGGCCUAACACAUGCAAGUCGAGCGGAUGAAGGGAGCUUGCUCCUGAAUUCAGCGGCGGACGGGUGAGUAAUGCCUAGGAAUCUGCCUGGUAGUGGGGGAUAACGUCCGGAAACGGGCGCUAAUACCGCAUACGUCCUGAGGGAGAAAGUGGGGGAUCUUCGGACCUCACGCUAUCAGAUGAGCCUAGGUCGGAUUAGCUAGUUGGUGGGGUGAAGGCCUACCAAGGCGACGAUCCGUAACUGGUCUGAGAGGAUGAUCAGUCACACUGGAACUGAGACACGGUCCAGACUCCUACGGGAGGCAGCAGUGGGGAAUAUUGGACAAUGGGCGAAAGCCUGAUCCAGCCAUGCCGCGUGUGUGAAGAAGGUCUUCGGAUUGUAAAGCACUUUAAGUUGGGAGGAAGGGCAGUAAGUUAAUACCUUGCUGUUUUGACGUUACCAACAGAAUAAGCACCGGCUAACUUCGUG